UACGUAGGGGGCAAGCGUUGUCCGGAAUCAUUGGGCGUAAAGAGCGUGUAGGCGGCUUGGUAAGUCCGCUGUGAAAGUCCAGGGCUCAACCCUGGAAUGCCGGUGGAAACUGCCAAGCUCGAGUCCGGAAGAGGCGAGUGGAAUUCCGGGUGGAGCGGUGAAAUGCGUAGAGAUCCGGAGGAACACCGACGGCGUAGGCAGCGCCCUGGCUGUGAAUAAAGCUGACACUGAGGCACGAAAGCUGGGGGAGCAAACAGG
rnacentral:rRNA from 1 species